rnacentral:rRNA from 1 species
UACGUAGGGCGCAAGCGUUGUCCGGAAUUACUGGGCGUAAAGCGUGCGCAGGCGGUUUUGUAAGCCAGAUGUGAAAUCCCCGGGCUUAACCUGGGAAUGGCAUUUGGGACUGCAAGGCUUGAGUGCGGCAGAGGAGACUGGAAUUCCUGGUGUAGCAGUGAAAUGCGUAGAUAUCAGGAGGAACACCGAUGGCGAAGGCAGGUCUCUGGGCUGACACUGACGCUCAUGCACGAAAGCGUGGGGAGCAAACAGG